GAACCAGUACCGUGAGGGAAAGGUGAAAAGCACCCCGGAAGGGGAGUGAAACAGUUCCUGAAACCGUGUGCCUACAAGUAGUUAGAGCCCGUUAAUGGGUGAUAGCGUGCCUUUUGUAGAAUGAACCGGCGAGUUACGAUUUGUUGCAAGGUUAAGCGGAAAAAGCGGAGCCGUAGCGAAAGCGAGUCUGAAUAGGGCGCAUAAGUAACAGGUCGUAGACCCGAAACCAGGUGAUCUACCCAUGUCCAGGAUGAAGGUAAGGUAAUACUUACUGGAGGUCCGAACCCACGCACGUUGAAAAGUGCGGGGAUGAGGUGUGGGUAGCGGAGAAAUUCCAAUCGAACUUGGAGAUAGCUGGUUCUCUCCGAAAUAGCUUUAGGGCUAGCCUCGAGGUAAAGAGUCAUGGAGGUAGAGCACUGUUUGGACUAGGGGCCCUUCUCGGGUUACCGAAUUCAGAUAAACUCCGAAUGCCAUGUACUUAUACUCGGGAGUCAGACUGCGAGUGAUAAGAUCCGUAGUCGAAAGGGAAACAGCCCAGACCACCAGUUAAGGUCCCCAAAUAUAUGUUAAGUGGAAAAGGAUGUGGGGUUGCUUAGACAACCAGGAUGUUGGCUUAGAAGCAGCCACCAUUGAAAGAGUGCGUAAUAGCUCACUGGUCGAGUGACCCCGCGCCGAAAAUGUACCGGGGCUAAACAUAUUACCGAAACUGUGGAUGAACCUCUUUAGAGGUUCGUGGUAGGAGAGCGUUCUAAGGGCGGUGAAGUCAGACCGGAAGGACUGGUGGAGCGCUUAGAAGUGAGAAUGCCGGUAUGAGUAGCGAAAGAAGGGUGAGAAUCCCUUCCACCGAAUAUCUAAGGUUUCCUGAGGAAGGCUCGUCCGCUCAGGGUUAGUCGGGACCUAAGCCGAGGCCGAUAGGCGUAGGCGAUGGACAACAGGUAGAGAUUCCUGUACCAGUGCUAAUUGUUUAACCGAUGGGGUGACACAGAAGGAUAGGGAAUCGCACGAAUGGAAAUGUGCGUCCAAGCAGUGAGUGUGAGAAGUAGGCAAAUCCGCUUCUCGCGAAGCAUGAGCUGUGAUGGGGAAGGAAAUUAAGUACGGAAGUUCCUGAUUUCACGCUGUCAAGAAAAGCCUCUAGGAAGAGUAGUACUGCCCGUACCGCAAACCGACACAGGUAGAUGAGGAGAGAAUCCUAAGGUGAGCGAGAGAACUCUCGUUAAGGAACUCGGCAAAAUGACCCCGUAACUUCGGGAGAAGGGGUGCUCUAUUAGGGUGCAAGCCCGAGAGAGCCGCAGUGAAUAGGCCCAGGCGACUGUUUAGCAAAAACACAGGUCUCUGCAAAACCGUAAGGUGACGUAUAGGGGCUGACGCCUGCCCGGUGCUGGAAGGUUAAGAGGAGUGCUUAGCUUCGGCGAAGGUACGAAUUGAAGCCCCAGUAAACGGCGGCCGUAACUAUAACGGUCCUAAGGUAGCGAAAUUCCUUGUCGGGUAAGUUCCGACCCGCACGAAAGGCGCAACGAUCUGGGCACUGUCUCAACGAGAGACUCGGUGAAAUUAUAGUACCUGUGAAGAUGCAGGUUACCCGCGACAGGACGGAAAGACCCCGUGGAGCUUUACUGCAACCUGAUAUGGAAUGUUUGUACCGCUUGUACAGGAUAGGUAGGAGCCGAAGAGACGUGUGCGCUAGCAUACGAGGAGGCAAUGGUGGGAUACUACCCUGGCUGUAUGACCAUUCUAACCCGCCACGCUUAGCGCGUGGGGAGACAGUGUCAGGUGGGCAGUUUGACUGGGGCGGUCGCCUCCUAAAGAG
rnacentral:rRNA from 1 species